rnacentral:rRNA from 1 species
CCCAAAACUGAUGAAUAAGCCCUCCGAAAGGAGGAUUAAUACAUCGUAACCUAAUUGAAUGGCAUCAUUUAAUUAGUAUAGGCUCCGGCGGUUUUGGAUGAGCGUGCGCCUGAUUAGGUAGUUGGCGGGGUAACGGCCCACCAAGCCUGCGAUCAGUAACUGGUGUGAGAGCACGACCAGUCACACGGGCACUGAGACACGGGCCCG